CAGACGGGUGAGUAACACGUGGGAACAUACCUUUUGGUUCGGAACAACUGAGGGAAACUUCAGCUAAAACCGGAUAAGCCCCGAGGGGGAAAGAUUUAUCGCCAUUAGAUUGGCCCGCGUCCGAUUAGCUAGUUGGUGGGGUAAAGGCCUACCAAGGCGACGAUCGGUAGCUGUUCUGAGAGGAAGAUCAGCCACACUGGGACUGAGACACGGCCCAGACUCCUACGGGAGGCAGCAGUGGGGAAUAUUGGACAAUGGGCGCAAGCCUGAUCCAGCCAUGCCACGUGGAUGAAGAAGGCCCUAGGGUUGUAAAGUCCUUUCGGUGGUGAAGAUAAUGACGGUAACCACAGAAGAAGCCCCGGCUAAUUUCGUGCCAGCAGCCGCGGUAAUACGAAAGGGGCUAGCGUUGUUCGGAAUUACUGGGCGUAAAGCGCACGUAGGCGGCAUUGUAAGAUGGGGGUGAAAUCCCCGGGCUCAACCCGGGAACUGCCUUCAUGACUGCAAAGCUCGAGGAUGCGAGAGGUGAGUGGAAUUCCGAGUGUAGAGGUGAAAUUCGUAGAUAUUCGGAAGA
rnacentral:rRNA from 1 species